AUUGAACGCUGGCGGCAUGCCUUACACAUGCAAGUCGAACGGUAACAGGUCUUCGGAUGCUGACGAGUGGCGAACGGGUGAGUAAUACAUCGGAACGUGCCCGAGAGUGGGGGAUAACGAAGCGAAAGCUUUGCUAAUACCGCAUACGAUCUCAGGAUGAAAGCAGGGGACCGCAAGGCCUUGCGCCCACGGAGCGGCCGAUGGCAGAUUAGGUAGUUGGUGGGAUAAAAGCGUACCAAGCCGACGAUCUGUAGCUGGUCUGAGAGGACGACCAGCCACACUGGGACUGAGACACGGCCCAGACUCCUACGGGAGGCAGCAGUGGGGAAUUUUGGACAAUGGGCGCAAGCCUGAUCCAGCCAUGCCGCGUGCAGGAUGAAGGCCUUCGGGUUGUAAACUGCUUUUGUACGGAACGAAAAGACUCUGGUUAAUACCUGGGGUCCAUGACGGUACCGUAAGAAUAAGCACCGGCUAACUACGUGCCAGCCGCCGCCGUAA
rnacentral:rRNA from 1 species